GAGAUUCCCCCAGUAGCGGCGAGCGAACGGGGAGCAGCCCAGAGUCUGAAUCAGCUUGUGUGUUAGUGGAACGGUCUGGAAAGUCCGACGGUACAGGGUGAUAGUCCCGUACACCAAAAUGCACAGGCUGUGAACUCGAAGAGUAGGGCGGGACACGUGGUAUCCUGUCUGAAUAUGGGGGGACCAUCCUCCAAGGCUAAAUACUCCUGACUGACCGAUAGUGAACCAGUACCGUGAGGGAAAGGCGAAAAGAACCCCGGCGAGGGGAGUGAAAAAGAACCUGAAACCGUGUACGUACAAGCAGUGGGAGCACCUUCGGGUGUGACUGCGUACCUUUUGUAUAAUGGGUCAGCGACUUAUAUUCUGUAGCAAGGUUAACCGUAUAGGGGAGCCGCAGGGAAACCGAGUCUUAACUGGGCGUUAAGUUGCAGGGUAUAGACCCGAAACCCGGUGAUCUAGCCAUGGGCAGGUUGAAGGUUGGGUAACACUAACUGGAGGACCGAACCGACUAAUGUUGAAAAAUUAGCGGAUGACUUGUGGCUGGGGGUGAAAGGCCAAUCAAACCGGGAGAUAGCUGGUUCUCCCCGAAAGCUAUUUAGGUAGCGCCUCGUGAAUUCAUCUUCGGGGGUAGAGCACUGUUUCGGCUAGGGGGUCAUCCCGACUUACCAACCCGAUGCAAACUACGAAUACCGAAGAAUGUUAUCACGGGAGACACACGGCGGGUGCUAACGUCCGUCGUGAAGAGGGAAACAACCCAGACCGCCAGCUAAGGUCCCAAAGUCAUGGUUAAGUGGGAAACGAUGUGGGAAGGCACAGACAGCCAGGAUGUUGGCUUAGAAGCAGCCAUCAUUUAAAGAAAGCGUAAUAGCUCACUGGUCGAGUCGGCCUGCGCGGAAGAUGUAACGGGGCUAAACCAUGCACCGAAGCUGCGGCAGCGACACUAUGUGUUGUUGGGUAGGGGAGCGUUCUGUAAGCCUGCGAAGGUG
rnacentral:rRNA from 1 species